GGGUUAGGAGGGUUAGAUGUGUUAGGAGGGUUAGAUGUGUUAGGGGGGUUAGGAGGGUUAUAAGUGUUAAGAGGGUUAGAUAUGUUAAGAGGGUUAGAUAUGUUAGGAGGGUUAGAUGUGUUAGGGGUUUGGAGGGUUAGGAGGGUUAAGUUAGAAGGGUUAGAUGUGUUAGGAGGGUUAGAUAUGUUAGGAGGGUUAGAUGUGUUAGGAGGGUUAGAUGUGUUAGGAGGGUUAGAUGUGUUAGGAGGGUUAGAUG
ensembl:lncRNA